UAUUUUCCCGUUGAUUGUGAGAUUAUAAAAUAACUAACUUAGUGAUCAAACAGUUUAACGUUGGUUAAAGGUGAUAUUUAUGUUUUAUUUGGAUGAUGAACGGAUGGUUUUUGGGGCAUUUCUGUGGAUAUUCAACAUAUUUCAUGCGGGGAAUCGUCGGUUGUAUCUGGCAACCAGCUAGAGUCAGGAACAAAGCAGUGAAAUGGAGGACGGACAGAGCUGGAUGAUGACUACCAUUAAACUAGAAGAAGAAGAAGAAAAGGAACAAAUAUUAUUGAGGGAAGUGAAGCUGAGUAUGAGUAAGACGGACAGUGAUGAUGAUGAUGAUGAAGGCUGCAGGAGGAAAGCUGUGCUGGAGGAGCUUCGUCAUCCCGACCAUGUGUGGGACGGAAUGUUUGCUCCAAAGAUGGAGAAAAGCGGAGAAGAAGAAACGGAGGAGUUUUCAGAUGUGUGCUCUGUGAAGGAAGAGUUUACAUACCAGUGCUGUGUGCCAGAAGGUUCCUCAGCUUCUGAAGUUGGAUGGAAAUGACCUCCCCCCACCCAUUGGCUUUGAUGUGGACACACCCACCACUCUCCCACCUUGUAAGGUUAGUCAGUGUGAUGCUGAAUUGUCUGUUGUGUUCAAAACGUCACUUGUCAAAGUACAAGAAUAUAGAAGCCACUAUAUUUUUAGAUUCAAGCCUUUUCUUUUCUGUAAUGAACGUCUCAUUUCUCCUGCUAAAUGUUGACCAUGUGAUCACACAGAGAAGCUGCUUUGGCUCUGAUGACGCUAAACGUCUACAUUCAGCGCUUUUUGCAACAGUGAGUUUCUAACAUUUUUCUCUAUGUCGCUUCACAGCGUUUCUAACAAUAAGUAGGAAAUGACAUCAGUGAUUGGUGGUGAUAGGAACAAAGAUGUCGGUGCCACACAUUACUUGAUACACAUGACGUUGUUGUCGCUGCUCAGAUCAUUGAUCAAUGGCCUCAUUUCUAACCGUAGCACAUACACAAAACAUGGCCUGAAAGAAGGUGCGUGACACUAUCCUCCAUAAAUAAAUGAAUGUGUGGGAAACGCUGAUGUUAAGUU
rnacentral:lncRNA from 1 species